AAAAUCAAGAAAAGAAAUAGAUAAUGUUUAGUGAAAGGAUAAAAGGAAACUAGAGAAAGAGCACUGAUGAGAUUAUCUAUCUAUUCAUUGAUUCCUUCAUGGCUUCUCGUCUGAUCACCACCCAUCGAAGCUUCUGCCACAAACUUGAGUUAAACUCUUGUAGACUAUCAUUUCUAUCAUCAAACCCGCAUGUGAAUUUUUGCAUUCCAGCUUUUGUUUCAUGUAGAGGUCCCUUUAGUUGUUUGAAGCUUAAGCACUGCCUCAAGCUUAGAGCAUCAUCUGAGGGGCUUCCAUCUGAGUUAGUAGAAGAAGACUCCAAAUUUGUUCCUCUAAAUGCUGAAGAUCCUAGAUAUGGUCCACCUGUAAGUUCUGUACCCAUCCAAUUUAAUUCAUCAAUCCACCACGUGUUUGUGUGCGUGCAGAUACAGCAACUUCUUAAGGAGUUAGAUGGUGAUUUCCUAGAGGUAUCUCCAUUGGUAGCUAGCUUCUCUCAACACUUCUCUUUCUUCUUUUUCCACAUGCAAGUUAAGGAGAUGAAGAGGUAUUCAAAGUGGCUUUUGGUUGGUAGAAAGCUUUUGCAAACAGUCAUUUUUUGUACUGAAGACAUGAUUACUUGCUCUCUGUGGGAGGCAAUGAAUACUAAGCAACCUAAUUUGGAUGCUGCAAAGAUCAAAAGAAUGAUUGUGGCUGAUGUUAAGUGAAGGAUGUUUUUGAGUGCAAUUCUAUCCUCUAAUUUGGCAACUGAAGAAUCGUACUCUUAGAUGCUGCAUACUAGCUGGUCUUACAAUCAUGUAACAGAGAGUACAUUAAUAUUGCAUAUUGUCCGGCGUCAUAAGCAUUUUGGUAUACCCUGCAGAUUGCAAAGUCACUUCCCCGAAUUUGCUUCUUGUCUGGUCUCACAGGAGAGGAGAUGAUGAUGUUUAUUGAUGCCUUUCCAGAAAGUGGACUAGAACCGCCAGUUUUUGCUGCUCUUGUCCCGAACAGUGCUGAUAAACCGAUACAAGAGUUGAUUGAAGAGAUCAUGGGGGACCAUGAGAUGAUUGCAUCCAGAAAAUCGACUUAGAUAUGGAUAUUUGUUGGUGGAUUCUCCGAAGUUUAAACAUUAGUCGUACGGUAUGGCCCCUGCAAGCUGAAUGAAACUCACGAGCUUGUACCGGGAGAAGAGCAAUAUAUAGAUGACUAUACAUGAAUUCUAAAAUUUUAUAGAGCACUGACAUCUGUUAUCUCCAGCUUAACCGAUUUCACGUUAUAUACAGCACUGGCGGUCUACGACAUUGAGCAUGACUACUGCCGGUUAAAAUCCACUGAAAAGCCUAUCCUGACUGAAA